AUUGAACGCUGGCGGCAGGCCUAACACAUGCAAGUCGAACGAGUGGCGGACGGGUGAGUAAUGUCUGGGAAACUGCCCGAUGGAGGGGGCUAACUACUGGAAACGGUAGCUAAUACCGCAUACCAUCGGAUGUGCCCAGCUGGGAUUAGCUAGUAGGUGGGGUAACGGCGCACCUAGGCGACGAUCCCUAGCUGGUCUGAGAGGCUGAUCAGCCACACUGGGACUGAGACACGGUCCAGACUCCUACGGGAGGCAGCAGUAGGGAAUAUUGCACAAUGGGCGCAAGCCUGACGCAGCCAUGCCGCGUGAAUGAAGAAGGCCUUCGGGUUGUAAAGUACUGUCAGCGGGGAGGCGGUACUCGCAGAAGAAGCACCGGCUAACUCCGUGCCAGCAGCCGCGGUAAUUC
rnacentral:rRNA from 1 species